rnacentral:rRNA from 1 species
GACGAACGCUGGCGGCGUGCCUAACACAUGCAAGUCGAGCGGAGGUGCCUGAAGAGCAAUCGGAGGGUGUCUGAGCGGCGGACGGGUGAGUAACGCGUGAGCGAUCUGCCUUUCACAGGGGGAUAACGCAGCGAAAGCUGCACUAAUACCGCAUGAGACCACGGUACUGAUGGUACAGGGGUCAAAGGAGAGAUCCGGUGAGAGAUGAGCUCGCGUCCGAUUAGGUAGUUGGUGAGGUAACGGCCCACCAAGCCAAUGAUCGGUAGCCGGCCUGUGAGGGUGAACGGCCACAUUGGAACUGAGAGACGGUCCAAACUCCUACGGGAGGCAGCAGUGGGGAAUAUUGGGCAAUGGGGGAAACCCUGACCCAGCAACGCCGCGUGAGGGAAGAAGGUUUUCGGAUUGUAAACCUCUGUUCUUGGAGAAGAGGAGAAGACGGUAUCCAAGGAGGAAGCCCCGGCUAACUACGUGCCAGCCGCCGCUGUAA